GUUUUGCGUCUUGUACUUUUCAUCGUUCACUUCCAGAAUUCAGUCGUUUUUGAACCGACCGAUUCAAUUUAAUAAACGUCAGAUGAUAGUUUCCCCCUUUCCAUAUUCUUCAAAAUAUUAUUAAAUGGCAAUUUGAUUACAAUUUUUGUGUGAAUUUGAUGAAAAUUUUCCAUAAAUUUGAGUUGAUUCCAUUGUGCCUAAACCCUUCUUCAUUUCUAGUUAUUUCGUGGAUGAAUUUUUUAAGACAUCGCAUCUUAUCAGAAAACCAUUCCUAAUGCUCAGAUUUCUGCUUUUCGAUUUAAAAUUAAAAAAGAGGAUUCUAGCUUUCUUGCCCAGUUCCUACUUUUAGUGAGCGCCUUCGCGAUCGCAACAUUUUUAAAUUUUUACAUUAAGUAAAAGAGUAGUUUUUUUUGUAUCGGUGCUCUCUUUUUCAUUAAAAAACGGAACAAAAACAAUAAAAUCACACGGUUAAUGCUGUUUUCCGGUUGACCUCACCUUCAAAGUAUGGUAAUGUGAGACCAUAAGUAUGCAUGACUAUUUUUUAAAUAAAUUAAACGAAAUGAUAUUGUUCUUGUCCUUCAACGCUGUGGAAGUAGACCGGCUCAUUAUUUUUAUCUUCAGGUGGGCCGUCUAGUUUCAGAGAAUACAUUGUUCGGCAGUUCUAAUUGAUCGUCGGGUGCUUCAGAUCUGUUCCAUGUUUUUCAAAUUGACAAACGAGAAUCUUACUGUGAAGUAUUUUAACAUCUGUGUUUGGGUAAUUAUCUGUCUUUUCAGCCUCUUUUCAUUUGACACAUACUAUUUGUUUAUUAUUUUAGCGCAUUUGUUCUAUUACUUAAACCUGAAGCCACACGCUUUUCCCUUAUUUUCCCCACGGAAAUAUCUGAUCUUGGACCACGUAGAUGAAACUGCUUCCAAAUCAUCAUAACCGAAGUAUCAUGCCACGUCUCGCGUGUUUCCUAAUCGUAUUCCUCGCCCUCGCAACAUUCGGAAGAGGGAUGCCAGCGCAGGCUGUAAAGCAAAAGGAAGUAAUAAAGCAGGAAACCACAACCUAUACGAAUACAGCUCCUGUUGCUCCUAUGUACUAUCAGGCACCCAAUCAACAGGUGUACCAACAACAGCAGUAUACCUACCAACAGGCCCCAGCAGUAAUAAUGACUACAGGAAAAUAAUAUCACUUCUCGUAUGGCGCUUUAACACAGCGCGACUUAUUACUUUGAUUCGUGUAUUUUGAGCUAGAACACCUAUGCAGGGAGAGUAAUGUCAUCUUCAUCAUUAAUAUGAAACAAAACUGUGGCGCUUACUGGUUGAUCUGCGAAAAUGUAGGCUUUUCAUGGAGACCUUGGGGCCCAAUGCAGGCGACCAUGAUAACCACAAAAUUUGAGACACGAUAAAAUUUUUUUAAUUUCAAGCUUCUGAAGUGAGGUACAAGUAUUAAACAUUGAUUAAUAUUUAUGCCGAGUAUUAUAUUCUUUAAAGGUAUCAUUGAUUUUUUCUGGAGGAAAAAAAAGAAAAAAAGGUCCAUCUACCUCGGGCCAGUUGAUAUAUUUGGACCGCAAAGCCCCAUAAAUGCUUAAAAAUGGGAAAUCAAUCAGAAAUCAAGACCAAGAAGACGAAACUUUUCCUCUAUUGGUAUUCUAUCCUGAGCCGUGAAGCAGUGAAUAAAAAAAUGAACGAAUGGUGCAAAUUUGUGUUCUUUUUUCUUCCUGUUUUUGAACCAUUCGUGUUAAUUUUUCCAGGUGUGUAAAUAGCCUAUGAUAUUGAGGCAAUUUGUAAAAAUAAAAUUAUUCUACUACUUCUACUGCUGCUAAUUUAUCUUUCA
rnacentral:lncRNA from 1 species